UACGUAGGUGGCGAGCGUUGUCCGGAAUUACUGGGUGUAAAGGGCGCGUAGGCGGGGGCAUAAGUCAGAUGUGAAAUACCAUGGCUUAACUGUGGUGCUGCAUCUGAAACUAUGUUUCUUGAGUGCUGGAGAGGAAAGCGGAAUUCCUAGUGUAGCGGUGAAAUGCGUAGAUAUUAGGAGGAACACCAGUGGCGAAGGCGGCUUUCUGGACAGUAACUGACGCUGAUGCGCGAAAGCGUGGGGAGCAAACAGG
rnacentral:rRNA from 1 species